UGCACUGCAUGGUAUCUGCACUCAGCAAUUUAUUCCUGCUGAUGUGUUCAAAGGACAGUGUGAUAGAAAUUCAAUA